GACAGAGGGUGCAAACGUUGCUCGGAAUUAUUGGGCGUAAAGCGCACGUAGGCGGUCUUGUAAGUCGGGUGUGAAAGCCCGGGGCUUAACCCCGGAAGUGCACUCGAAACUGCAAGGCUUGAGUAUGGAAGAGGGUCUCGGAAUUCCCGGUGUAGAGGUGAAAUUCGUAGAUAUCGGGAGGAACACCAGUGGCGAAGGCGGAGACCUGGGCCAAUACUGACGCUGAGGUGCGAAAGCGUGGGGAGCAAACAGG
rnacentral:rRNA from 1 species